rnacentral:rRNA from 1 species
CGCCAGACUCCUACGGGAGGCAGCAGUGAGGAAUAUUGGUCAAUGGUCGGGAGACUGAACCAGCCAAGCCGCGUGAGGGAUGAAGGUACAGAGUAUCGUAAACCUCUUUUGUCAGGGAACAAAGGCGGGGACGCGUCCCCGGAUGAGUGUACCUGAAGAAAAAGCAUCGGCUAACUCCGUGCCAGCAGCCGCGGUAAUACGGAGGAUGCGAGCGUUAUCCGGAUUUAUUGGGUUUAAAGGGUGCGCAGGCGGUCUGUUAAGUCAGCGGUCAAAGCCCGGGGCUCAACCCCGGUCCGCCGUUGAAACUGGCGGGCUGGAGUUGGAGAGAAGUACGCGGAAUGCGCGGUGUAGCGGUGAAAUGCUUAGAUAUCGCGCAGAACCCCGAUUGCGAAGGCAGCGUACCGGCUCCACACUGACGCUGAGGCACGAAAGCGUGGGUAUCGAACAGGAUUAGAUACCCGGGUAC